rnacentral:rRNA from 1 species
AGAGUUUGAUCCUGGCUCAGGACGAACGCUGGCGGCGUGCUUAACACAUGCAAGUCGAACGAAGAGCGAUGGAAGCUUGCUUCUAUCAAUCUUAGUGGCGAACGGGUGAGUAACGCGUAAUCAACCUGCCCUUCAGAGGGGGACAACAGUUGGAAACGACUGCUAAUACCGCAUACGAUCUGACCUCGGCAUCGAGGAUAGAUGAAAGGUGGCCUCUAUUUAUAAGCUAUCACUGAAGGAGGGGAUUGCGUCUGAUUAGCUAGUUGGAGGGGUAACGGCCCACCAAGGCGAUGAUCAGUAGCCGGUCUGAGAGGAUGAACGGCCACAUUGGGACUGAGACACGGCCCAGACUCCUACGGGAGGCAGCAGUGGGGAAUCUUCCGCAAUGGACGAAAGUCUGACGGAGCAACGCCGCGUGAGUGAUGACGGCCUUCGGGUUGUAAAGCUCUGUUAAUCGGGACGAAAGGCCUUCUUGCGAAUAGUUAGAAGGAUUGACGGUACCGGAAUAGAAAGCCACGGCUAACUACGUGCCAGCAGCCGCGGU